rnacentral:lncRNA from 1 species
GUUGAAGCGUGGAGAAUGGAUUAAGGCACAGCAAGACUAGAAGCUGGGAGCCUGGCUCUUAAGAUGUUGCAGACACUUGGGGGCAAGUUGUGAACAAAUAUGCAAACCUUUGGAGAAGAGCAUCAGCUACACUGCUGAAGAGGGUUUGCCGGGCUCUACGUGCGC